GUUAUUCUGUUGAAUAACUUUUAAUAUGGCAAGAGUUGUCAUCCAUGAUAAUGUCAACCAGAUAAUAAACCAGAUAAUCAUUCCUACACUCUUCUUUUGUUCAACAGACAUGAUUUAAGUGUGCCCCAUGGCUUAAUACUGUAUGAGGCACUGAGAGAAAACAAGAGAUAAAAAUAUAGUAGUUAUUACCCUUUCUCUGAAGGAACCCACAGACCAGCAGAAAGAAUCUAUGUACAGCAGACCUCUCAAAAACAAAGAAAAAAUACCGCCAUUGACAUUUGAUAGAAGUACUAAAAGAAUGGAGAUAAUAAAAUGACAAAGUAAUUCCAGUUGUUGGAGAAAGCAGAGAAGUGACAUUUUAACAUGACGUUAGAUUUAUAAGAUGGACAACAGGGAAAGAAUAUUUAUGCUAAAGAGACAAGCUUGAUGGAAGCCUCUGCCUACCUUGGAGAGAUGGGAUGUCAUGUCAUGCUGAUGAAGCAACACACCUUUAUUCUUGGGCUGUUCAGUUUGGAAAUUUGAUGGUUGGCCAUCUCUUCUGCACUCCUGCCAUCACUGAAAAGGACAUGCCUUAACCAGCCCCCUGUUGAAGGAGGAUAAACACACAGGGAGCAGCUUUUCCCAUCUCACUCACUGACCUGCACCUUGAAGCAGAGCCGCCUUACUAAGCCCUGCCCAGGGGAACAGACCCAAUAAUGCUGCAGAUCCAUGGAAAUGAACAGUUGCCACUUUAAGCUAAUGAGUUUGGAGGUACUUUAUUACAUAGUACGUUUGGAGUACUAUAUGACUAAUAUAGCUACUUCUUUCUGAGAAGAAUCAUAACAAAAUAUCAUACUGUUUUUAUUAUUAUAAGAGCCAAUAGGAUGUUUACUAUUAUUAUCUGAACUUAGUACUAUUUUUAUAUUUUAUGUGGAAUUUAGUCUAAAAAGAUAUAAAGUGUACCCUGGAUCAUGUGACUAGCCAGUUUGCUACCAGGGAUGACCUCAUAACUCUAACUACUACUUUUUGUUGAUAUUUGUGAUUAUUUUGAUGCCCAGUGAAUAUCCAUUUUUGGUAGCUCAGUUGCUAGUAACAUUUAUCUAUUAAGGUGCUGGUAAACAAGACUGGGGGCUUCCUUGGUGGCUCAGAAGUAAAAAAAAAUCUGCCUGCAAUGCAGGAGAUAUAGGUUUGAUCCCUGGGUCAGGAAGACCCCCUGGAAAAGGAAUUGGCAAUCCACUCCAGUAUUCUUGCCUGGGAAAUCCUAUGGACAGAGGAGCCUGGCAGGCUAUGGUCCAUGGGGUGGUGAAAGAGUCAGACACGACUUAGUGACUAAACAACAACAAGAAUGGUGACAAAACAAACCUAACUGA
rnacentral:lncRNA from 1 species